GCAGGAUGCUGCACCGGCGUUAGAAACCUUAACAACAUGGCCCGUACCACCCCAGACCGUCAGCAAGCUUGCACUUGCCUUCAAAAUACCGCUAGAAGCCUAGGGGCUGGUCUCAAUGCUGGCCGUGCAGCUGGAAUCCCUAAGGCAUGUGGAGUCAACAUUCCUUACAAGAUCAGCACCAGCACCAACUGCAAGACGUAUGUUUUUCUCUCUCUCAUGCAGCCUCUCUUUUAUAUUUUACACAGUACUAUACUACGUAACAUUAGAGUGGUUUUACAGAAAAAAAACAAUAUGUGUUAGUAUAUUUAACUUGGUUUUGGGUUGGAUAUUAACGGUAUGUUGUGUGAAUUUGUAUUUGGCUGCAGCGUGAGGUGAUGAGCGACGGUCAGAUAAAGCUACAAGCGGACGUUUCGAAUAUUAUAUAAUGGGAUGAGAUAAUUAAUACUAAAUAAGAUGUUCGAAUGGCUGUUUCUAGAGUUUUUAAUUUCCUGUCUUUUUCUUCUAUCGUGAUGUUCCCCUAUUAUGUACUCGGUCUGUGUACUAUGUUCGCAAACAACUUUAUAUGAAUUUCAGACUUGAAGUUUACGUUGCUCUACAUUCUCACUUAAGCUAUACGUACUUAGUUAGUUCAAUCGAUAUGGAUAGCUUUAUUAUCUUGCAUUACACUGUGAAGUGUUCAUUAGUAUGACAACACUUCAUAUUGUUUUCAAUUAAAAAAUAUUACACACUAAUCUUCGGACUAGCUAGUGAUCCAUAAAGUCGGAUAUUAAUGGGAAGUGAUGGAUAGUUUAUAAUAGGAAACGUACGUGUAACCGAACAUGCUCCGAAGUUUUUCACGAUGACUAUUAUUAUUGAUGAGCUUUUAAGAAAAUUUUAAGUUAAGAAACGUUAAGACAUUUUUUAUAUAAUUUUUUCUUUUUCAUAUUUUUUAGCUUAAAAUUUCUUAAGAGUUCAUCAAUAAUGAUGAUCUUGGUAUUCUCUUAACAACCGUUGUCUAUUUGAUGUAUGAAAAAAACAUUUAAUUAUAUAUAAUAUAUUUUUGGAAAAAUAAAGUUAACUUAUAAAGAUAAACAGAUGUUAAGAUAGAAUAGAGAGUAUAGACGCUAUUACAAUGACAAUAACAUUUCAAUGUAAAUUAAAGUAAUUUUUCUACCCAACACAUCUAUCUAUAUAUAGUUUUAAGAGGUGAUUGGUUGACACUUUUUAAGACUAUUACAUAUUAUAAAAGUUUAAAAAGUUUGAUUUUUACCAAUCACACUUUUUAAUUUAAAAAUCCUAAAUGUUCUCCUUAGUUUUUUGUUAUGGUCAUUUUUCAACUUUCUUAAGCCAAUGAUUCAUGAUUUUGAUUAUUUAAAAGUUAAAAUUUAUUACUAUUUGUUAGUAAAUUUCUUUACAUCAACUUUUUAUAAAGUGAAAGUCUGAACACUAUAUUAUAACAGUGCAUACCAAAACAAAACAAUGAAAUAUGCAAAUAAGAAGCAUGAGUAAGAUCAGUAAAUUUUAUUUUUGGUAGAAAUAUAUAUUACUCUUCCGAAGAUAAAAUAUCGAGUUAACAUGUUAAAAAUAAAAAUAAAAAAAUAGAUUAGAGAGGUCCUACAUAAUUAUAUAUAUGAAUCUCUACAUUAGAUGAGUACAACAACCAACCACUCCGUCCCACUAUAGUCUAUCGCAUUUACAUUUACAUAAACAACACUUUAAUUUCCCUUCUCUAUAUAAACACUCACUCCCCUCAUCACUCUCUUCAUCAUCUAUCACUUAGACACAUCUCCUUUUUUUGAAACCAAACAAAAACCCUCUUUAACUAAGAGAUCAAAUAUGGCCGGAGUGAUGAAGUUGGCAUGCUUGGUCUUGGCCUGCAUGAUUGUGGCCGGUCCAAUGGCAGCUAACGCAGCUCUGAGUUGUGGCGCUGUUAACAGCAACUUGGCACCGUGCAUUGGCUACCUGAUCCAAGGUGGUAUCAUUCCCGUAGGAUGCUGCAACGGCGUAAGAAACCUUAACAGCAUAGCCCGUACGACCCCAGACCGUCAGCAAGCAUGCACUUGCAUUCAAAAUGCCGCUAGAGGCCUAGGCUCUGGUCUCAACGCUGGCCGU
rnacentral:lncRNA from 1 species